AUAGGCACAGUCCCAGGGAUGGUCAGAAGGCCCCUGGAGUUCACCAUCAGAAUGGCCUUCCCCACUGCCAGCUCGUUUCAGCCAACCCUGGAAGCUGGAGCCACCACUUUAUGUCUCAUGAUGCAAGAGAGGAAACCCACUCAAUUCCCAGCCUCCAAACUGCGUGGGGGAUUCCCAAGACCCUUUUGGCUUGCAGAAAUAUCCUCCAAGGAUGAGUAGAGCAGCCUUCUCCCCCAAAUCCUAUCACUUCCCUUCCCAACAGCCUGAACUUUUUAGGGGAGUGAAGGCAGGAACAUUUCCAGUCACCUAUUAAAACUGUGGUCACGGAGGUCUGACAACGUAAACACCUGGACCUUGACAUCAACAGCAAAUCCGGCUCGUCCAGGAGACCUCAAGGGUUUCAUUUGACUCCAGAUGUGGAUCAGGGCUAGUGGGACCAGCGUUGACGCGUCCCUAUGAGUGGGAAGAACACAUCCCUUUUCGAGCACUUCAUAGCCUGGGCUUGUGCAGAGUAAAGGGAAAGACCAGAGAGCCCCAUGGUGUAUCAUGCCCUGAAGCCCACUGCAUUUGAAGACCAUAAAAUAUGCAGCAAGCCCAUUUGUGUUGCCUUUCUCCUCCUUGAUCAUCAUGAAAUAAAUUGUUGCAAAAGGAAAAUACCUAAGUCCCUGAAAUCCCUCUCAAUGUAGGGUGAGUGAGAUUUGAAGAAAACUGUUCAAUUACUCUGACGUUCUCAUUUUAGAAACAAGCCACAAAGCUGUGUUCAUAUAAUAGAACUACAGUGUCUACUGUUGGUGUAUAUUUGCAUAAUAAUUGCUACACAAAAUCAAACCUCGAGCUUCGUCUUUUGCAUUUGGCUUCUUCCCCCCCCCCCCCCCACAGCAUCAAAAAUAUUUUGUAUCUCUGCUUCUAAGGUCUUCUCUAGAGUUCAUCUUUCCACUCUGUCAUUCUCUCUUUUUCUCCUCAUCAAUGAAAGCUUUUUCUCCUGAAGCUAGAAAUCCAGUCGAACUAUUAAAUCCGGAGCGUGUAGGACUUCCGUUAUUUACCAAGAGGGUAUUAUCAUCAGGCAGAGAUCUUCAGAUUCAACUUUAGCUGUGCCUGUCACCGGCAACAAAAGAGAUAUGGGGUAUGUACAAGGGAAGCAGCAUCAGGGAUCUUUUUUGUCGGAGUUUUUUGAUAAAGGGACUACCGUAAUGUCCUUCAGACAGGGUCCUUCCCUGUUAUCUGCCCAUUUUUGCUGUCUUUUUCUCCCACUACACUGCCCCAGCACUCCACAGAGCCAGUCAAUUUCUGUAAUUCCAAAGGAAGAAAAA